rnacentral:rRNA from 1 species
ACGGUGAUUAAUACCGGAUACUCCUUCUUGUUAUAAGACAAGUCGGGAAAGUUUUUCGCUAGGGGAUCAGUCUAUGUUCCAUCAGCUUGUUGGUGAGGUAAUGGCUCACCAAGGCUAUGACGGAUAUCUGGUUUGAGAGGAUGAUCAGACACGCUGGAACUGAGACACGGUCCAGACUCCUACGGGAGGCAGCAGUGAGGAAUAUUGCACAAUGGAGGAAACUCUGAUGCAGCAACGCCGCGUGGAGGAUGACGCAUUUCGGUGUGUAAACUCCUUUUAUUAGGGAAGAUAAUGACGGUACCUAAUGAAUAAGCACCGGCUAACUCCGUGCCAGCAGCCGCGGUAAUACGGAGGGUGCAAGCGUUACUCGGAAUCACUGGGCGUAAAGGGUGCGUAGGCUGGCUUUUAAGUCAGAUGUGAAAUCCAAUGGCUCAACCAUUGAACUGCAUUUGAAACUGAAAGCCUAGAGUUCAGAAGGGGCAGAUGGAAUUAGUGGUGUAGGGGUAAAAUCCGUAGAUAUCACUAGGAAUAUCGAAAGCGAAGGCGAUC